rnacentral:misc_RNA from 1 species
GGGCGGGGGAGAUGGGGGUCAAUUUUUACCAAUGUUUUCUUAUCCCUCGUUUUCUCCAACAUUUCUAGAUUUUGUGCCAUUGAAUCUUUAUGAAUAGAUGCCAAGCAAGAUGCUUUGGUUUCAGAUUUUGGUUAAUUAACUCGUAAAAGUCUUUGUAAUCUUUGUCAUUUGAUCUUUUGGAUAUUUUCUUUUGACUCAGGGAGGUUGAAGAUUUUGCUCGG